rnacentral:rRNA from 1 species
UACGGGGGGGGCAAGCGUUGUUCGGAAUUACUGGGCGUAAAGGGCUCGUAGGCGGCCAAUUAAGUCAGACGUGAAAUCCCUCGGCUUAACCGGGGAACUGCGUCUGAUACUGGAUGGCUUGAGUUUGGGAGAGGGAUGCGGAAUUCCAGGUGUAGCGGUGAAAUGCGUAGAUAUCUGGAGGAACACCGGUGGCGAAGGCGGCAUCCUGGACCAACACUGACGCUGAUGAGCGAAAGCCAGGGGAGCAAACGGG